GGCCCCGAACGCGGUCCCGCCCGGCGCUUUCCUCUGCGGAGCUGCGGCGAGAGCGCGGCCCGGCCGAACGGGCGCGGGACGCGGAGCCCCCGACGGCGCGGCCAGCGGGCGCGCCCGCGCUCCCCGCACCCCGCCUGGCCCUGCCGGCCACCCCCGCGCGCAGCCUAGUCCCCCAGCGCCCUGCUCCGCCAGCGCCCCGUCCCGCCCGCACACCUCCGCGAUGCGGCACGGCGUCGCCUGGGCGCUGCUGGUGGCCGCGGCCCUGGGGCUUGGGGCGCGCGGGGUGCGCGGCGCGGUGGCCCUUGCCGACUUCUACCCGUUCGGCGCCGAGCGCGGCGACGCCGUCACCCCCAAGCAGGACGACGGCGGCUCGGGGCUGCGGCCGCUCUCGGUGCCCUUCCCGUUCUUCGGUGCCGAGCACUCCGGACUCUACAGUUGGCGCUGGGGCUGGACAGCCACUGCCCAGGGGACGCCAUUGGGCUCCAGCUUAGCCGGACCAUCCUUGAACCAGGCCCAGGCAUCGGGGGCCCCGUGACUCGAGCACCCCGCAGAGCCAGUGGCUCACGUCAGGCACUGGACCGGAAGGUGAACAACAACGGGAUCAUCUCCUUCCUGAAGGAGGUUUCUCAGUUCACCCCAGUGGCCUUCCCCAUUGCCAAGGACCGCUGCGUGGUGGCAGCCUUCUGGGCAGAUGUGGACAACCGGCGUGCAGGCGACGUGUACUACCGGGAGGCCACCGACCCAGCCAUGCUGCGCCGAGCCACGGAGGACGUCAGGCACUACUUCCCCGAGCUCCUGGACUUCAAUGCCACCUGGGUUUUUGUUGCCACCUGGUACCGAGUGACCUUCUUUGGAGGCAGUUCCUCAUCCCCUGUCAACACAUUCCAGACUGUGCUCAUCACAGACGGCAAGCUCUCCUUCACCAUCUUCAACUAUGAGUCCAUCGUGUGGACCACAGGCACACACGCCAGCAGCGGGGGCAACGCCACUGGCCUCGGGGGCAUCGCAGCCCAGGCUGGCUUCAACGCAGGCGAUGGGCAGCGUUACUUCAGUAUCCCCGGCUCGCGCACAGCAGACAUGGCCGAGGUGGAGACCACCACCAACGUGGGUGUGCCCGGGCGCUGGGCGUUCAGAAUCGAUGAUGCCCAGGUGCGCGUGGGGGGCUGCGGCCAUACAACGUCCGUGUGCCUGGCCCUGCGCCCCUGCCUCAACGGCGGCAAGUGCAUCGACGACUGCGUCACGGGCAACCCCUCCUACACCUGCUCCUGCCUCUCGGGCUUCACGGGGCGGAGGUGCCACCUGGACGUGAACGAAUGUGCCUCCCAGCCCUGUCAGAAUGGUGGGACCUGUACUCACGGCAUCAACAGUUUCCGCUGCCAGUGCCCGGCUGGCUUUGGGGGACCCACCUGUGAGACAGCCCAAUCCCCCUGUGACACCAAAGAGUGUCAACAUGGUGGCCAGUGCCAGGUGGAGAAUGGCUCUGCGGUGUGUGUGUGCCAGGCCGGAUACACCGGAGCAGCCUGCGAGAUGGAUGUGGACGACUGCAGCCCUGACCCCUGCCUGAAUGGAGGCUCUUGUGUUGACCUAGUGGGGAAUUACACCUGCUUGUGUGCCGAGCCCUUCAAGGGACUUCGCUGUGAGACAGGAGACCAUCCAGUGCCAGACGCCUGCCUCUCGGCCCCUUGCCACAAUGGGGGCACCUGUGUGGAUGCGGACCAGGGCUACGUGUGCGAGUGCCCCGAAGGCUUCAUGGGCCUGGACUGCAGGGAGAGAGUCCCCGAUGACUGUGAGUGCCGCAACGGAGGCAGAUGCCUGGGCGCCAACACCACCCUCUGCCAGUGCCCCCUGGGAUUCUUUGGGCUUCUCUGUGAAUUUGAAAUCACAGCCAUGCCCUGCAACAUGAACACACAGUGCCCAGAUGGGGGCUACUGCAUGGAGCACGGCGGGAGCUACCUCUGCGUCUGCCACACCGACCACAAUGCCAGCCACUCCCUGCCAUCACCCUGCGACUCGGACCCCUGCUUCAACGGAGGCUCCUGCGAUGCCCAUGACGACUCCUACACCUGCGAGUGCCCGCGCGGGUUCCACGGCAAGCACUGCGAGAAAGCCCGGCCACACCUGUGCAGCUCAGGGCCCUGCCGGAACGGGGGCACGUGCAAGGAGGCGGGCGGCGAGUACCACUGCAGCUGCCCCUACCGCUUCACUGGGAGGCACUGUGAGAUCGGGAAGCCAGACUCGUGUGCCUCUGGCCCCUGUCACAACGGCGGCACCUGCUUCCACUACAUUGGCAAAUACAAGUGUGACUGUCCCCCAGGCUUCUCCGGGCGGCACUGCGAGAUAGCCCCCUCCCCCUGCUUCCGGAGCCCGUGUGUGAAUGGGGGCACCUGCGAGGACCGGGACACGGAUUUCUUCUGCCACUGCCAAGCAGGGUACAUGGGACGCCGGUGCCAGGCAGAGGUGGACUGCGGCCCCCCGGAGGAGGUGAAGCACGCCACACUGCGCUUCAACGGCACGCGGCUGGGCGCGGUGGCCCUGUAUGCAUGUGACCGUGGCUACAGCCUGAGCGCCCCCAGCCGCAUCCGGGUCUGCCAGCCACACGGUGUCUGGAGUGAGCCUCCCCAGUGCCUUGAAAUCGAUGAGUGCCGGUCUCAGCCGUGCCUGCAUGGGGGCUCUUGUCAGGACCGCGUUGCUGGGUACCUGUGCCUCUGCAGCACAGGCUAUGAGGGCGCCCACUGUGAGCUGGAGAGGGAUGAGUGCCGAGCUCACCCGUGCAGAAAUGGAGGGUCCUGCAGGAACCUCCCAGGGGCCUAUGUCUGCCGGUGCCCUGCAGGCUUCGUUGGAGUCCACUGUGAGACAGAGGUGGACGCCUGCGACUCCAGCCCCUGCCAGCAUGGAGGCCGGUGUGAGAGCGGCGGCGGGGCCUACCUGUGCGUCUGCCCAGAGAGCUUCUUCGGCUACCACUGCGAGACAGUGAGUGACCCCUGCUUCUCCAGCCCCUGUGGGGGCCGUGGCUAUUGCCUGGCCAGCAACGGCUCCCACAGCUGCACCUGCAAAGUGGGCUACACGGGCGAGGACUGCGCCAAAGAGCUCUUCCCACCGACGGCCCUCAAGAUGGAGAGAGUGGAGGAGAGUGGGGUCUCUAUCUCCUGGAACCCGCCCAAUGGUCCAGCCGCCAGGCAGAUGCUUGAUGGCUACGCGGUCACCUACGUCUCCUCCGACGGCUCCUACCGCCGCACAGACUUUGUGGACAGGACCCGCUCCUCGCACCAGCUCCAGGCCCUGGCGGCCGGCAGGGCCUACAACAUCUCCGUCUUCUCAGUGAAGCGAAACAGUAACAACAAGAAUGACAUCAGCAGGCCUGCCGUGCUGCUGGCCCGCACGCGACCCCGCCCUGUGGAAGGCUUCGAGGUCACCAAUGUGACGGCUAGCACCAUCUCAGUGCAGUGGGCCCUGCACAGGAUCCGCCAUGCCACCGUCAGUGGGGUCCGUGUGUCCAUCCGCCACCCUGAGGCCCUCAGGGACCAGGCCACCGAUGUGGACAGGAGUGUGGACAGGUUCACCUUUAGGGCCCUGCUGCCUGGGAAGAGGUACACCAUCCAGCUGACCACCCUCAGUGGGCUCAGGGGAGAGGAGCACCCCACAGAGAGCCUGGCCACCGCGCCGACGCACGUGUGGACCCGGCCCCUGCCUCCAGCAAACCUGACCGCCGCCCGAGUCACUGCCACCUCUGCCCACGUGGUCUGGGAUGCCCCGACUCCAGGCAGCUUGCUGGAGGCUUAUGUCAUCAAUGUGACCACCAGCCAGAGCACCAAGAGCCGCUAUGUCCCCAACGGGAAGCUGGCGUCCUACACGGUGCGCGACCUGCUGCCGGGACGGCGGUACCAGCUCUCUGUGAUAGCAGUGCAGAGCACGGAGCUCGGGCCGCAGCACAGCGAGCCCGCCCACCUCUACAUCAUCACCUCCCCCAGGGAUGGCGCUGACAGACGCUGGCACCAGGGAGGACACCACCCUCGGGUGCUCAAGAACAGACCGCCCCCGGCGCGCCUGCCGGAGCUGCGCCUGCUCAAUGACCACAGCGCCCCCGAGACCCCCACCCAGCCCCCCAGGUUCUCGGAGCUUGUGGACGGCAGAGGAAGAGUGAGCGCCAGGUUCGGUGGCUCACCCAGCAAAGCAGCCACCGUGAGAUCACAACCCACAGCCUCGGCGCAGCUCGAGAACAUGGAGGAAGCCCCCAAGCGGGUCAGCCUGGCCCUCCAGCUCCCUGAACACGGCAGCAAGGACAUCGGAAACGUCCCUGGCAACUGUUCAGAAAACCCCUGUCAGAACGGAGGCACUUGUGUGCCGGGCGCAGACGCCCACAGCUGUGACUGCGGGCCAGGGUUCAAAGGCAGACGCUGCGAGCUCGCCUGUAUAAAGGUGUCCCGCCCCUGCACAAGGCUGUUCUCCGAGACAAAGGCCUUUCCAGUCUGGGAGGGAGGCGUCUGUCACCACGUGUAUAAAAGAGUCUACCGAGUUCACCAAGACAUCUGCUUCAAAGAGAGCUGUGAAAGCACAAGCCUCAAGAAGACCCCAAACAGGUGCCUCUGGGGAGCAGGCCCAUGCCGUGUCCUGCAUGUAGCCCACAGGGUGAUGGGGCAAGGGCGGGGUGCUAUGGGAUGCUGCAGGCCUGUGGGCUGAGCCAGGCGGUCUACUCGCCCAGAUAGGCAGCCCCUGGGCAGCCACGUUCUGCUACGAAACUGUAUGUCCAUAUAUGUGCAUGUGAGCAUACCCAGAGGGGCACAGCCGGGCAUGCUGGGUGCUGGGGGGGGUCACUCUGGUUAUGCAUAUUCACACAGAACAUGGUGCUACAAUUGGGAAGCACAGGGUGUUACGGACAGCCCCGAGUAUUUAAUGGCCGAUAUAGCGCGUCGCUCUUUACUUUUUAUUCACUCACACCCAGGUUCUUUCCACAAAGGGUUCAAGGUAGUUACAAGAAUUACUACUGUUUGGCGUUUGCUGAAAGAAGUACGUGAGAAUAUUAUAUGCUUUAGAAACCACAGAGUCGAAGCCUGUCAUCGUCCUCAUAGACCAAUGAGUAGCCACACGUACUUGUUUGGCAUUACCAAGUGUCCGGGCAAGGCCGCAGCCUGCAGCUCACCAGCCGUGCUGCUCGGCCUGUGCACGUCACCGGCUCUUCCCUAGGGUAGCUUUUGCUUGCUUUCUCCCACGUCCAUCCUCUCUCUCUCUGACUCACAGCCAGCCAGGUUUCUAGCCUUGUCAUUCCUAAACUACUGCCUCAAGCCAGGCGGGCGCACACAAACUAAAAUGCUAAUCUCCACAGCGGUGUCUGGACUAAUGGUGUCCCCCACCGUGGAAUGUAUGUGAGCUAAAGACAGGAUCUCAGCAGGCAGCCUGGACUGAGGUAGCUGUAGAAUUCAAGGUACACAGUCUCUUUUUCAUUAAACGACUUUUCUCUAAUUAUUUCAGGAAACAAAGUAAGAGUCAGACACUGGAGAAAUCUUAAGGAUUUAAGACGUUCUUGUUACACUCCACCAACCUCACGAGUUUCUAACACCCAGGAAGAUGAGGUCUAAAAACUGGAUGAAAAAGGACACCCUGAGAAAAGGUCCUAGCUGGAGUCAGUCCCCUCUGUGACCUCUCUCCUCAGGCCUCUAGAGGACAGAUGGCCAGGCCUGUGCACACACCAGCCCACCCUGAGAGACCCCUCUGGGACCAACCACCUGUGAGUCCUGCGAUGCGUUUAAGCAGCCUGUGCCCUCACCCAAGCUGCAGUUCCUGAAGGUGUAGUCUGUGUCUCUGCGGAUGAGAUGACAGCUCGCCAUUCCCCGGAAUCAGUGAGGCUGUCAGUCAGCCACGCUUCUGCAGUAUGCAGAAACCUGUUCUUAGACUCCAAAGCCAGAGAAAGAAUUCUCCCUUCGAGGCCCAACAAAUUGAGAAGGAACUGUGAUGGACCACUUCCAAAACAGAGACGGGGGCAGGGGCUGAAGGGCAGAGACCAGGUGAUGUCAGAAGGAAAGCCGGGUUGCAGACACAGCCGCCCCUGCUCUGGUCCUCCAGCGUGUUUAUGACGCUCGUGCAGGUCGACGAGCCAUCCUAUGGACUAGUUAACACUAAGGUGGAGUUCAGACUUUUUUAGACAACGGCGCGACUGGCAGCCUUUCUCUAUCAAGGGUCAGACGGUAAACGUUUUCAGCUUUGCAGACCAGAGGUCCCUGUGGCUACAGUAGCGCAGACACAGCCACAGGCAUGUCAUUGAAUGGCUGCGGCUAUGUUCCAAUAAAAACUUAUUUACAAUAACAGGUGGUGGCCAAAUUGGCCCAUGGGCCUUAUUUGGUGAACCCUGUUCUAUGAGAUCACCUAGGCUUCAGCCUUAAACAGUGGAAGCCAUCCCCUGAAUGACAAGUCACAAGGGUAUCAAAGAAAGACCCCUGAAUUUUCAUGGAAAAAGCUAUUCAGACCCCUGCUUGGAAAGCUAAGGCACACUGCCACGAAGCAGCAAGGACGCCUUACAAGUCUCAGUGCAACAGAGAUGGACACCUGGGCUGGGCUGGACAAUGUUUAAGGUUCCUUUUAGUCCAUGACUCAAGUGAUACUGUUUUAGGCUAUCAGGUAGUAAACACGAUCUUAGACAUCCCCAUCUUUGUAAGCAGAACAGUACGGCACUUCACCACAUCUGCUUCCCACCAUGCUUCUAAGCAGCUGUCUUCCCCCUGCUAAUGUUACAACCAAAGCAGCCACCCCACCUCCUCUCGUGUUGAGCCUCACGACCGCUGACCCAGCUGGAAAGCCAGCGCCCUGCCGCGUCACCCUGACUCUGCUCAGAGCCAGCAUUCCAGCCACAAAGAGGGCCUCCUUCCUUUCCUCUUUCAUAAAAAUGUUUUUUGAAGAGUUAGAGUAUAUUUUAGGCUUUUUAUCUUUAUUAAAAUUUCAUGUGCAUGUGUCUGUGUAUUCUGCAAUUUGUCAUUUUCAGAAAGAAGGAACAGGCAAUUCGCGAAGUUUCACCUGUACUCCCGAGCUGUUCCCCAGGCUCCAGACCCACUUGAGAGCAGAAGGUGGAGCUCAAUGAAGGGUCUCGAGCUCAGCGAAGGGUCACUGGGUGAACUGAGAGAAACCACGUUCACAAACGCGUACUGCGGACUUCCUGCCGCCCUGGGACCUGUCACUGUUUGUCCAUGUAAGCUACAGCAUUACUAGCAGAUGCUAAGAUCGAGUGAUAUCACUGGAAAAGUAGGUGAAUCCUACUAGGAAACUUUCUACUCCCUACUAGGACCUCAAGCCCCUCAGCCACACAGCAAAUGCUAAUAUGCUCCAGUGUUAGCUUAGAAGCCUUGUGUCAACAAGAACUGGCUCCUGAGUCCCAAGCUUGGUGCCACACAGCAAAUGCUAAUAUGCUCCAGUGUUAGCUUAGAAGCCUUGUGUCAACAAGAACUGGCUCCUGAGUCCCAAGCUUGGUGCCACACAGCAAAUGCUAAUAUGCUCCAGUGUUAGCUUAGAAGCCUUGUGUCAACAAGAACUGGCUCCUGAGUCCCAAGUGCUGUCACAGGACUUGCCCAUUGGGAUGUUUUCCACAUUAAAUAUCAAGUAAAAAGACUUCCUGGUGCUCAGGAAUUACAGUUCGUUCUUGAAACAUUCCAAAGAGGCCACCACAGCUUUUCCCAUGUGGCUUCUUUUAAAAACUCAAAUGGCUUCCUUGAAAAUACUCAAAGUCCACCCAAGGAAAUUAGUAAUAAUAGAAUCAGAAAACUGUCAGGAGCAUAAAGAUUUCUGUAUCAAAAUGAAAGAAGCAAUCCUGAGUUGCUGAAUUACCCAUCUGCUAAUGAAACCGGGAUGGACUGAUCAUCUAACCAAGUGCAGACUGAGGAUUCUACUUAGUCCUCCGACUGGGUACAACAACAGCCUAGGUUCUAGGGAGGGUGGCAGUGACCGGGAUGCCACAAUGGAAGAGAAAAUGAAAACACUGGCACAGUGAAAUGUCUCAUUUCCAAACAGUUUUGCCUAUGGCCAAGCAAGGCAAUAAAGACAAACUCUCCCUUUUCCCCAUUGCGUGUGGGCUGCCAGGUACAAGUAAGGGAAUCUUUGCUGUGCCCACUGUCCUCCAGUAGAGAACCCAACAGGCAAGGGCCCCACUCAGGUAUCAGCUCACCUCCUGCACCUCCCCUUAGCAGGAACUCCUUCCACUGGCAAAGGACUGCCACUGCCAUCUGACUCAACUGUGGCGAUGUGGACGGAGUCACCGAGCUGCUUUUCUUUUGCAAAACAAAAGUCUUUUUCUUUGCAGUCACGCUGUAAGACGAGGCUGCUGGAGAAAACAAAAGCACCUAGAUUUCAGUGCUGAAUCCCCACAAUUGCAUGCAGCUCACACCUACCAGGGGUAUUCCAGUGCAUAGGGGAAAGGAACCCGGCUGAAAAACCAGCUCCUUAUUUUUCUUUUAAAUAAAAUAAUACGAUCCUAAGUCCAUUUACCAUCUGAAGUUGUCACGAGUGAACAGUCACAUUACUGUUGUGGACCAGGCCUUAGAUGAGUUUCUCAGGCUCAGCACUGACAUUCUGGGCCGGAUCAUCCUCUCUUGUGGGACCAUCCUGUGCACUGCAGGAUGUUUCACAGCACCCCUGGCCUCUACCCACUAGAAUCCUACAAUCUACCAGAUCCUAGGAUCUAGUUGAUCCUAGAAUGCUACCAAGGAGACUUGAAUUUUGGUCCCAUCAUCAAAAAUGCCUUCUGCAUCAAUCCUAUGCCAGUUUCCCCUAAAAGAGGGCUAACUGGAAUGUUCUAGGAUGUACCAAUCCUCCAGGACCCUCUUAGAGCUCAUGCCAUCAGAGACAGGCCUCUAUCUCAGGGAUCACCCCGGCUGACAUCAAAUUCCUCUUCUCUUUUCCCAACAUUUCAAAUUGUUCUUCGGACUCAUUGAGUUCCCUAAGGUGACACGCCCCCCCCCCCCCCCACACCCACCUUGGGGGGUCACGGAUUGCUCCCUGUGGCCCUGGCUUCAGCCCACCUGCUCCAUGACCCUAUGCUCUUCUCCUCUGGUUCUCGAAGCUGUCUGUAACCAGGGCAGGGGAGAUAACUGUAUGGGACCAUUCCCUGGCCUCCACCUGCCCCAGCACUCUCCAGGCCAGCACAGUCUGGCACUACAGACUACAGGGCCGGAGACACCAGGCUUGGAAGUGACCACUGGCCAAGAGCUGACAUAAAAGCCAACUUCCCCAAACAGGAAGGGCCUGUUCUUCACAAAGAUAAAGAAAACUGCCAGCAUUUUGCUGGCCUUAAGAAGCCAUGCAAAAUUAACCAGUACAUCAUGAAUUAACUUCUUUUACUCUGCUGUGCACUGAAUACCAUUAUGAAGCAAUAUACUUUUGGAUUAAAAAUAAGCAUUUUUGUGGAAAAUCUGCUACAUGUUUUCAUAAAAUAAAGUGCUAUGAUGUACUAAAACCUCA